rnacentral:rRNA from 1 species
AACGAACGCUGGCGGCAGGCCUAACACAUGCAAGUCGAACGCCCUAGCAAUAGGGAGUGGCAGACGGGUGAGUAACGCGUGGGAACGUACCCUUCGGUUCGGAAUAACCCAGGGAAACUUGGACUAAUACCGGAUACGUGCGAGAGCAGAAAGAUUUAUCGCCGAAGGAUCGGCCCGCGUCCGAUUAGCUAGUUGGUGAGGUAAUGGCUCACCAAGGCGACGAUCGGUAGCUGGUCNGAGAGGAUGAUCA